AGCAGCCGCGGUAAUUCCAGCUCCAAUAGCGUAUAUUAAAGUUGUUGCAGUUAAAAAGCUCGUAGUUGAACCUUAGGCCCGUGCGGGUGGUCCGUCCUCUGGGCGAGCACUGCCUCGUCGCGGGUCUCACCUUCUGGCGAGCGUGGAUGCCAUUCACUUGGUGUCUGCGGGAACCAGGACCUUUACCUUGAAAAAAUUAGAGUGCUCAAAGCGGGC
rnacentral:rRNA from 1 species